AGAUUUUAAGAUAACUUAAUCAUUUAGCCUUCAAAGCUAAAAAUAUAAAAUAUUUUAUAAAUCUUA